rnacentral:lncRNA from 1 species
AGACCGGUGUUAAUGACUAAGAACCCUUUUCCAUAAAAAUAAUUCCCUAAUGUCUUAGGUCAAUUCAAAUUCAUAGAAAAAUUUAUGCACGUUAAUUCUAUUUAUCAUAGUUCAAUAAUCCGAUAUUUCUAAAACGACUAUUGACCAAACAAUUAUUUCAUAUUCAGGUUUCAAAAGUUAUGGUUAGUAAUCAUUCGAUUCCUAAAUUCAAUUCAUAAAUUCGUCAAUUCAUAAAAAGCAUUACACACAGAAAUAACUGAAUAACAAUAAUAUUAAAAAGGUCUCAAGGAUUCUCAACAAUUUACAUGGUUCAAAUCAAUUCAAGGAAGAUCAUCUACUAGUUCUAAUCAAAUAGAGAUUUAGCUACUCAUAAUUAAAUUAAUAAGCAACAUCAAGUAAUAAAAAAAGAAGAAAUAAAACCAGGAGGCUAUGUGAUGUACCACUGCCGUCAAUCGCUUCUCUGCCUUUUUUUCUCAAGUCUGCGUUCUGUCCUUUAGGUUAAAAGAAAGCUAAUAUAUAUAUAUGUGUAAUCAUGUGCCACUAGCUGAGCUGAGCAAAUCACGUAAGCAAGAUACGAAUUAAUUAUUAUGCUUGUGUCAUCCAACCAAUUUGCUGACGUCAUCAUGCUUUUGCAUAGCAAAAUCGUGUCCCUAGCAGAAUUACUUCGUGGCGCGAUAAAUCCAGAGUGUGCAAGCAUCUAACUGCUUUAAACUUGUGAAAUUUUUCUAAGCCUUUUUCUCCUUUGGUCUUUUGUCUUCAAACUCUUUGAUAUGUCAAUUUCUUUCAGAAAAUAUUCUCUUUUGACCAUGCAUUAUCUUUAAAAACUAACUAAAAUACUUAAAAUAAUUAUUAAAAAUACUCAAAUGACUGACUGUCAUCA